UUACCGAGUUAUCCAACUCCCAACCCCUGUGAAUUAUACCUUUAAUUGUUGCUUCGGCGGGACUUCGCGCCCGCCGGGGACCCAAACCUUCUGAAUUUUUUAAUAAGUAUCUUCUGAGUGGUUAAAAAAAUGAAUCAAAACUUUCAACAACGGAUCUCUUGGUUCUGGCAUCGAUGAAGAACGCAGCGAAAUGCGAUAAGUAAUGUGAAUUGCAGAAUUCAGUGAAUCAUCGAAUCUUUGAACGCACAUUGCGCCCGUCAGUAUUCUGGCGGGCAUGCCUGUUCGAGCGUCAUUACGCCCCUCAAGUCCCCUGUGGACUUGGUGUUGGGGAUCGGCGAGGCUGGUUUUCCAGCACAGCCGUCCCUUAAAUUAAUUGGCGGUCUCGCCGUGGCCCUCCUCUGCGCAGUAGUAAAACACUCGCAACAGGAGCCCGGCGCGGUCCACUGCCGUAAAACCCCCCAACUUUUUAUAGUUGACCUCGAAUCAGGUAGGACUACCCGCUGAACUUAAGCAUAUCAAUAA
rnacentral:rRNA from 1 species